rnacentral:rRNA from 1 species
AAGCUGACGUAUUGUGCGAGUUCAUUGUCGCGUCCUGCGCCGGG